rnacentral:tRNA from 1 species
CCUCCGUGGAGGCCGGUGAGCUGCCGGCGUCCUCGGGCGGUGCGGGCGAGCUGUCGGGCGCGGAGUUCGAAGCCCCGGCCGAGGU